rnacentral:lncRNA from 1 species
GUGUCUAAGUCAGCAUCUCCUAAAGGGCCCGAACAGCUGAGGAAGCUCUUCAUUGAAGGGUUGAGCUUUGAAACAACCUGAAAAUGGCUCAAAAUGGUUGAGUCAUUUUAAACAAUGGGGAAUGCUCACAGACUGUGUGGUAAUGAGUGAUCCAAACACCAAGCCCUCCAGGGGCUUUGGAUUUGUCACAUAUGACACCGUGGGGGAGAUGGAUGCAGCCAUGAAUGCAAGGCCACACAAGGUGGAUGGAAGAGUUGUGGAACCAAAGAGAGCUGUCUCAAGAGAAGAUUCUCAAAGACCAGGUGCCCACUUAACUUUGAAAAAGAUAUUUGUUGGUGGCAUUAAAGAAGACACUGAAGAACAUCAACUAAGAGAUUAUUUUGAAUAGUAUGGAAAAAUUGAAGUAAUUGAAAUCAUGACCGACUGAGGCAGUGGUAAGAAAAGGGAUUUUGCCUUUGUAACCUUUGACAACCAUGACUCCAUGGAUAAGACUGUCAUUCAGAAAUACCAUAGUGUGAAUGACCACAACUGUGAAGUUAGGAAAGCCCUGUCAAAGCAAGAGUUGGCCAUUGCCUCAUCCAGCCAGAGGUGGAAGUGGUUCUGGAAACUUUGAUCAUGGUCAUGGAGGUGGUGGUCGUGGAGGAAGCUUCAGUUGUCAUGGUGGCUUUGGUGGCAGUCAUGGUGGUGGUGGUUAUGGUGGCGGUGGGGAUGGCUAUAAUGGAUUUGGUAAUGAUGGAAGCAAUUUUGGAGGUGGUGGAAGCUACAAUGAUUUUGGCAGUUACAACAAUCAGUCUUCAAAUUAUGGACCCAUGAAACUUUGGAGUCAGAAGCUCUGGCCCCUAUGGUGGUGGAGGCCAAUUCUUUGCCAAACCACAAAACCAAGGUGGCUAUGAUGGUUCCAGUAGUAGCAGUAGCUGUGGCAGUGGCAGAAGAUUUU